GGUGGAUGGGGAGCAACCUAGUUGUGCGUGUGUAAAGGUAGUGCCAAGAAAAGCGAUGAUCAUGUUGAAAAUCAAUUCCCGGUACCCGAAACCGACACAGGUGGGCAAGUAGAGAAUACUAAGGGGCGCGAGGUAACUCUCUCCAAGGAACUCGGCAAAAUGACCCCGUAACUUAGGGAGAAGGGGUGCCACCGAGAGGUGGUCGCAGUGAAGAGGCCCAGGCGACUGUUUAGCAAAAACAUAGGUCUCUGCAAACUCGAAAGAGGAGGUAUAGGGGCUGACGCCUGCCCAGUGCCGGAAGGUUAAAGAAGUUGGUCAGUCUUAGGAUGAAGCUAGCGACUGAAGCCCCGGUGAACGGCGGCCGUAACUAUAACGGUCCUAAGGUAGCGAAAUUCCUUGUCGGGUAAGUUCCGACCCGCACGAAAGGCGUAACGAUCUGGGCGCUGUCUCGGAGAGAGGCUCGGCGAAAUAGGAUUGUCUGUGAAGAUACGGACUACCUGCAUUUGGACAGAAAGACCCUAUGAAGCUUUACUAUAGCUUGGAAUUGUGUUCGGGCUUCCUGUGCGCAGGAUAGGUGGGAGGCGUAGAAGGUAUUCUUGUGGGGAUACUGGAGCCAACGGUGAGAUACCACUCUCAGGAGGCUAGAAUUCUAACUUAAUUAAGGACAGUUUCAGGUGGGUAGUUUGACUGGGGCGGUCGCCUCCAAAAAGGUAACGGAGGCGUACAAAGGUUCCCUCAGACUGGUUGGAAAUCAGUCGAAGAGUGCAAAGGCAGAAGGGAGCUUGACUGCGAGAAGUACAGUUCGAGCAGGGUGGAAACACGGUCUUAGUGAUCCGACGGUGCUGUGUGGAAGGGCCGUCGCUCAACGGAUAAAAGUUACUCUAGGAUAACAGGCUGAUCUCCCCCAAGAGUUCACAUCGACGGGGAGGUUUGGCACCUCGAUGUCGGCUCAUCGCAACCUGGGGCGGAAGUACGUCCCAAGGGUUGGGCUGUUCGCCCAUUAAAGCGGUACGUGAGCUGGGUUCAGAACGUCGUGAGACAGUUCGGUCCAUAUCCGAUGUAGGCGUGAGAAUAUUGAGAGGAGCCUUCCUUAGUACGAGAGGACCGGGAAGGACGCACCGCUGGUGUACCUGUUAUGAUGCCAAUUGUAAACGCAGGGUAGCCAAGUGCGGAGAGGAUAACCGCUGAAAGCAUCUAAGUGGGAAGCCCACCUCAAGAUGAGUAUUCUGGUGUAAGGUCACGGGAAGACGACCCGUAAAUAGGCACGAGGUGGAAGUGCAGAGAUGUAUGAAGCCGAAGUGUACUAAUAGACCGUCGGCUU
rnacentral:rRNA from 1 species